CUUUGGCCACAAGAUUAUCCUUGAGCAAAGGCUGGAACACAGUCUCUGGUGGGAGCCCAGAUAGUUUCUGGGAGAAUGCAAGUGCUGUGAAAAUGGCCAACUUCUUCCUUUCAUUUUCCUCAAAAAGUUCCAAUGACUGCAGGAAUCUUCGUGUAACAUUUUCAAGGUUCUUUAUGAGGAACGGCCUGCGGCGCAAAAUUUUCUGUAUGUAAAUUACAGAUGGUAAGAUGAUUUCACGCUUAGGUUCACAGUCUAUUAUAGAGUAAGGAUGGCGCUCCCCCUCAUCAGGUUUUGUUGUGCCAGGUUGUGUACGGCCUCCUGUAAAAACAACCUCAAAAAAGGUAUCACCGUAUCUUGAGAAGUUAAGGUCUGCAGAUUCAACGCUCUUAGCAAUAAGUUCCAAAUCACCAGCAUUAUCCAGAUAAAUCUGGACCACUGCAUCCGCAAAUGCUGCAGGGUCCAGUGGCGCUGCAAUGUUCCGUUUGCGGGUCUUAAUCCGCGUGCCACUGUACAUGGACAACAAAUUUGAGUAAAAAAAUUUCAUGCAAGCAUAAAAAUAGAGAACUCAAUCCAUCCAAGACAUAUUUGCUUAAUUUCUACCAAAUCCUUGAUUCAUUGUUGUGUUAUAAACACAAACCAAAAGUGCUAAAGUAGCAAACUCAUUUUUCUUUUUAUUUGGGAAUAAGCAUUACAUAUUUAAAUUUCAUAACCAUUGAUUCAUUGUUGUGUUAUAAACACAAACCAAAAGUGCUAAAGUAGCAAACUCAUUUUUCUUUUUAUUUGGGAAUAAGCAUUACAUAUUUAAAUUUCAUAACCAUUGAUUCAAUGUGACAGAAUCCAUCAUUCAACAAAAUCAAUACUCUUGAUGAUUCAUUAACCAACUAGAUUGUGCCUGUUUCAACAAUAUGGCUAAAGUAUGACAAGAAAAGUUAAAGCCACAACCACAAGACACGUAAUUUUCCAUGCUUCUCAGCAAUAUCAUCAUCAGUUUCGUUUAAAAUAU
rnacentral:misc_RNA from 1 species